rnacentral:rRNA from 1 species
AGAGUUUGAUCCUGGCUCAGAACGAACGCUGGCGGCGUGCUUAAGACAUGCAAGUCGAACGGUAAGGCGAGUCACUCUUCGGAGUAACUCGUACACGAGUGGCGCACGGGUGAGUAACGCGUGGGUAAUCUGCCUUCGGGUUUGGGACAACUCCGGGAAACUGGAGCUAAUACCGAAUAAGACCACGAGGUCUUUGGACCUUGCGGAAAAAGGUGGCCUCUUCUUGAAAGCUAUCGCCGGUUGAUGAGCCCGCGUCCCAUUAGCUUGUUGGUGAGGUAAAGGCUCACCAAGGCAUCGAUGGGUAGCUGGUCUGAGAGGAUGAUCAGCCACACUGGAACUGAGACACGGUCCAGACUCCUACGGGAGGCAGCAGUCGGGAAUCUUGCACAAUGGGCGAAAGCCUGAUGCAGCAACGCCGCGUGAGGGAUGAAGGCCCUCGGGUCGUAAACCUCUGUCGGAAGGGAAGAACGUAUUUCGGGCCAAUACCCCGGGAUACUGACGGUACCUUCAAAGGAAGCGCCGGCUAACUCCGUGCCAGCAGCCGCGGUAAUACGGAGGGCGCGAGCGUUAUUCGGAAUCAUUGGGCGUAAAGCGCGUGUAGGCGGCUGGGAAAGUCGGGUGUGAAAGCCCGGGGCUCAACCCCGGAAUU